AAAAAUUAUUUUCCAGCUUUUUUGCACUUUAAUAAUGUUCUGGGGUUAUUUCAUUGCUUUUUGAGCAAUCAUUUAAUCCUUGAUGUGUCUUUGCUGUGAUGCCAGUACUUUUGACGCUACUUUCAUUUUACUUGGAAGUCUGGAAUGUGUUCUUCAACAUCAUUGCUUUAGGGCGGUCAGUCACAUGGAAAUACUUGUCUGCAUAUCCAUGCAGAAUGAUAGUGAUUUUUAAUAUUCUUUUUAACUACUUUGGAUCUUGGAGCUGGGCAAAGUAGUUGUUAACAAAGAUCAUCCAUAUUUUCAUGAUUAAUCCAAGCAUGAGGGAAGAGAUGGUGUAAGGAAAAAGCUCUAUGCUGCUGAAAUUUGUACUUUCAAUUGAUUCAAUUACUUUCAGGAAGCUGGCA
rnacentral:misc_RNA from 1 species